rnacentral:rRNA from 1 species
GAGAUAGAAAGUUACUUCGGUACAUCGGUGACAGGUGGUGCAUGGUUGUCGUCAGCUCGUGUCGUGAGAUGUUGGGUUAAGUCCCGCAACGAGCGCAACCCCUAUUGUUAGUUGCCAUCAUUCAGUUGGGCACUCUAGCGAGACUGCCGGUAAUAAACCGGAGGAAGGUGGGAUGACGUCAAAUCAUCAUGCCCCUUAUGACCUGGGCUACACACGUGCUACAAUGGUUGGUACAACGAGUUGCGAGUCGGUGACGGCGAGCUAAUCUCUUAAAGCCAAUCUCAGUUCGGAUUGUAGGCUGCAACUCGCCUACAUGAAGUCGGAAUCGCUAGUAAUCGCGGAUCAGCACGCCGCGGUGAAUACGUUCCCGGGCCUU